UCGGGUAAUUCAACUACAACGCGUCCUAACUUGUUAGGAGUGAGGAAAGUCCGGACUUCAUAGAGCAGAAUGCUGGUUAACGACCAGGCGGGGCAACUCGACGGAAAGUGCAACAGAAAAUAAACAGCCGAAGUCGCAAGACUGGCAAUGGUGAAAUCGUGAGGUAAGAGCUCACGGAUAUUGGUUGGCAACAAUCAGUCUGGCAAACCCCAUUCGAAGCAAGGCCAAAUAGGGGUGGAGAAUUUGCUCGAUUCAAUGACACUCGGGUUGGCUGCAAAGAAUGUUAUGGCAACAUAGCAUCAAGAGAAAUUGUAGUUUAAAACAGAAUCCGGCUUAUGUAUUACCCGAUUUU
rnacentral:RNase_P_RNA from 1 species